rnacentral:rRNA from 1 species
UACGUAGGGUCCGAGCGUUGUCCGGAUUUACUGGGCGUAAAGAGCUCGUAGGUGGUUUGUCGCGUUGUUCGUGAAAACUCACAGCUCAACUGUGGGCGUGCGGGCGAUACGGGCAGACUUGAGUACUGCAGGGGAGACUGGAAUUCCUGGUGUAGCGGUGGAAUGCGCAGAUAUCAGGAGGAACACCGGUGGCGAAGGCGGGUCUCUGGGCAGUAACUGACGCUGAGGAGCGAAAGCGUGGGGAGCGAACAGG